rnacentral:ncRNA from 1 species
CCACGUCCCGACGCACAACCCCCCCGGCGCCGGGACUUCCCAAAGCCGGGUUCGGCGCCCUCCCCCCGGGCGCCGGACCCGGCUUCCUC